rnacentral:rRNA from 1 species
UACGGGGGGGGCAAGCGUUGUUCGGAAUUACUGGGCGUAAAGGGCUCGUAGGCGGCCAACUAAGUCAGACGUGAAAUCCCUCGGCUUAACCGGGGAACUGCGUCUGAUACUGGAUGGCUUGAGGUUGGGAGAGGGAUGCGGAAUUCCAGGUGUAGCGGUGAAAUGCGUAGAUAUCUGGAGGAACACCGGUGGCGAAGGCGGGAUCCUGGACCAAUUCUGACGCUGAGGAGCGAAAGCCAGGGGAGCAAACGGG